rnacentral:rRNA from 1 species
UACGUAGGGUGCGAGCGUUGUCCGGAAUUAUUGGGCGUAAAGAGCUCGUAGGCGGUUUGUCACGUCGGAUGUGAAAUCUCCGGGCUUAACUCGGAAAGGUCAACUGAUACUGUGCGACUAGAGUGCAGAAGGGGCAACUGGAAUUCUCGGUGUAGCGGUGAAAUGCGUAGAUAUCGAGAGGAACACCUGCGGCGAAGGCGGGUUGCUGGGCUGACACUGACGCUGAUGCGCGAAAGCCAGGGGAGCGAACGGG